rnacentral:lncRNA from 1 species
CAGGGGUUGAUGGAAUGCCAGCAGAGAGACCAGAUAGGAGAUUGUGGUGGUAAUUCGAACAAGUGAUCAUAAACAAUCUAACUCUCACCCUUAGUACUCCUGUUGACCUGAAGAAGAUGCAGACAUGAGGCAUACAAUCCACAAUAGAAGCCCACAGAUCCUUAAACUAUAUAUGGGCAUCAGGAAUUCAUAAGCCCCCGAAAGUGAAGACUGAUUUGGUUCAUGCAAUAUGUAUACUUCACUGGAAAGAUAGGUAUAACAUAUUCUCAAAGGGUGAAUCACCCCCUUCCCUCCAAUUUUUAACAUCUGCACCAAAAGCCUGAAGAAGUUGAGGCAGUUUCUCUAGUGCCUAACACCACACCUAGGGAAACCCCAUCUUCCUAGAUAAUUAGGUCAGGGCUUUACACAGAAGAGAAAUGAUUUUUUGAGACGUGUAUCUUUUGGCUAAAAUCAAUGUAGAUUUGUAACUCUACAGAAGCAGUGGUAAUUGUGACUCUCCCAGCAGAAUUUAAGCAACAAUUUAUAAAAGUUUAGAGAGAAAGUCUUUUGGUGGUAGAGGUGAAGAAACAUUGAAAAAUGGCACAUUUGAUUGACAGUCUUUGAUAUAAUCAGGACUUGCUGGGAUUUCUAAGACACAACAUAGCAGCAAAGUCCAGUUUAUCUUAACUCUUAACGUACAUUAUUGAGAUGUAAUCUACACUAGUAUAAUUUUUCCUUGUAAGGAACCAAAAUGCUAUGUGUUUCAGAAAACAGUACAAAUAGCUAGUAGUCUCAAAAUGACUCAGAUGAUUUAAUCUGGAAUAUUGUUGCAUAAAUGAUUCAUAAGAUAACUAGUAGGACUAUUUUAUAUCAAUAUCAAGAUUGUCUGAUCUUAAUCAGAAUCACCAGUGAAAUGUGUAUUUCACUGCUAUUGCUAUGUAGGUACUAAGUAUCCAGCUGCAUACUGGAAACUACAGACAUUUACAAAAAGAUGCCAACUGGAUGAUACAAAAUACAGCUUGGAGCAUAAAUGCUGCCUUCUAAAUGCAAUGUGCUUAUUGAUUACUUUCUAUAAAAUAAAUCCUCAGUUAUUGAGAAUUGGGACUCUGGUGUCUUAAACAUACUUUGUUCUCAUAUUUUGGAGAAAUAACGCCUAUUUAUGCUGAGAUUUUACUAUAAUUUUGAUUUACUUUUUGUUUAGUAAUUCAUGGAUAUAUACAUAUUUAUAUUUAUACACACAUAUUUAUCACAUAUACACAUAAAUAUGUAAAUUACAAAGCAAAAUUUAUAAUGAAUAGCCAAUCUAAGUACUGGGAUAUUGGCCAAGUUUUCAUCUACCUGUAUCUCCUUUCCUACUUCACCUGUUUUUCUCUCUUUAGAGCUAAUGACUAAGGUUACCUAUUUUGCCUAUUGUAUAAAUACAAUGUCUUGUAUUUAUUAUUCAUAUACUUUUUGAUAAAAUAGCUGUUUUAUAUAUAUCAUAUAUUUGAUAUAUAUUCUGAAAUAAUAAACUAUCUUGUUUUACUUAUUUUUAAGCUUAGAAAAUAAUAUUAAAUACAUGCAGUUUUCUGGGACUUUCUCUUUACUUACUCUUACGUUCAUUUAUUUCUCAUCAGUAUAUAAUAUUUCAUUGAGUGAAUAUUCUACAAUCUAUAUAUCCAUUCUUUUAUCAUUAGACACUACAAUUCUAAUGGUUCCAAUUUGAAAAUUGUGAAAAUGUCUUAACUGCAUUUUGCAAAUAAUUUUUUAUUCUCAUUUCCAUCAUCUAAAAUGACCGUGUCUAGGAGUUCCCGUCGUGGCGCAGCAGAAACGAAUCAGACUAGGAACUAUGAGGUUGAGGGUUCGAUCCCUGGCCUCUCUCAGUGGGUUAAAGAUCUGGCAUUUCUGUGAGUUGUGGUGUUGCAGACGCAGCUCAGAUCCUGCAUUGCCAUGGCUAUGGCGUAGGCUGGCAGCUGUAGCUCUGAUUCGACCCCCAGCCUGGGAACUUCCAUAUGCCAUGGGUACAGCCCUAAAAAGCAAUAAAAUAAAAUGACCGUGUCUAGACUGAAUCUACUUCUCUGUAGGUAUAGAUAGUAAGACUGUUUCAGAACUGAUCCUAACUUUUGACUAUUAUUUUUUCUUCCUGGAAAUAUUUCUCCUAUCAGCUGACUCUCUGGCUAGUCACUUAUUCCCUUGUUUACACAGUAAAGAAAGACAAGCCGUAGGACACUUUUGGUGGUAUAUAGGGCCACCUUCCUAGACAAAAAUGUAUUAAAUGAAAGGCCAAAGCGUCUUUGUUUCAGGAGAUGUUUUUGUGAUCUGGAAAAAAAAUCCUUUUUUAUUGGUUGGACUGGCAACAGUCUUUUUUCACCAGCACAAAAAUAUAUUUUUUGUCUAUAAAUCUACAGAGCACAGGCAGGGCCUUCAGCUCCCUGUUUUGUCUCCUUUGCUUGGAGAUUGUGGAUAGGAUGUGAAAGGAGAUUGCCCUUCAGUACAGCAGGUAUUUUUUGUGAGAGUGUUUUGGAAAAAGUGUUUAUCCUGAGCUCAUAUAAUCUAAUCAUCACCAGCAGUCACAACUCCAACAUCAUCACUGUUACUACCUUUGUCAGAAUUAUCUGUAAACAUGAGACCUGGUAGUUUUUCUAUGCUUUAACAUCCAAUGUUAAAAAGAACUCUAGAUAUUAAGUAACACUCAAGUUUGAAUCUUGAGUGUUUGUAUUUUGAAGUAUUUUUUAUAAAAAUGUUGGAUACUUUGAAUAAUACCUUGAUCCGCUGAUAACUAUAAAGAGAUGAUAUCUUCAAACAUAAAAAUGCAGGAGUUCCCUUGUAGUGCAAAGGGUUAAAGAUCUGGUGUUGCCACUGCAGCGCCUUGGGUUGCUGCUGUGGUGCAGGUUCGAUCUCUAGCCUGAGAACUUCCACAUGUGGUGGGAGUGGCCAAAAAAACCCACAUCAAAAUGUAAAAAAAAAAUAACUAACUUCGCUUCCUUAUUAUAAGCAUUAUAAUCAGUAACAUGACAAAUCUUUUCAAGUGAAUUCAGGGUAAUCACAUUUCAAAAAAAUUGAGCAAAUCUGAAAAAAAUAGGUAUUUGUCCAUCUGUGAAUAUACUCUAUAAGCAGAAAUCAUUACAUUAUGAUCACAUAUUCCAGGUACUUAAAUUUUUUUUUGCUGAUAUAUCAGCACGUGAUUAAAAAAUACAUACACCUUAGAGUUCCCAUUGUGGCUCAGUGGUUAAUGAAUCCGACUAGGAACCAUGAGAUUGCGGGUUUGAUCCCUGGCCUUGCUCAGUGGGUUAAGGAUCUGGCGUUGCCAUGAGCUGUGGUGUAGGUUGCAGACACGGCUCAGAUUCAGCAUUGCUAUGGCUCUGGAGUAGGCCAGCAGCUAUAGCUCCGAUUAGACCCCUAGCCUGGGGACAUCCAUAUGCCAUGGGAGCAGCCCUAGAAACGAUAAAAAGAUAACAACAACAACAACAAAAAUACAUACACCUACAUACUCACUGCAUUCUAUUAUUUGCUUAAACCAAGGGGCAGUAUGGUUAACUGGCCACCACAAGAAUAGCAUUUGACAAGACUGCAAAAAAGAUCCUGACAUAGUGCUGGGAAACUGUUCCAGGAUAGAAUGGGCUCAAAGAUAUAUAUUCUGAAAUGCUUACAACACUUUACUUCAGUGUAGCUGCUAAAUAUUUCUGAAUGUUUAUUUCAUUUCCAUUUUUAGUGCUAUAUCUUUUGCUAACAUAUACAAACUAAAAUUCUGAAAUUACAACAUUUCAGCCACCUACAAUUUCCAAUAAAUUUAUUUUGCUUAUUCAUAGGGCAUUGUUGCCUAUAUUGGAAGUGCUGGCAUGUGCUUUCAUGGGAAAAUACAGUGCUAUUCCCACAAUAUUCUCCAUAGGGAAAAUACCAGCCAGCAGGCAUACUACUCCUUGUCUGUUUCCCAUUAUCUAAUAUACAAUACACCCAUACCUACAAUUUUAUUAUUUCCUCUCUCUAGUUACUAUGGACAAAGAACCCCUCCUCCUUCCAAAGGUGCAACUCUUCAAAUUUUCUGAAUCUUAACCCCCUCCCCUUUCUGAGAGACAUUUCCAUCAGUUAUUACAUAAACACACACACACUAAUACACACAUACAAUCUUCUAAAUUUUCACUUACUCUCUUUUUGCUAUACCCUUGCCAUCAACAUUUAAAUAAACUGCCAAACAGGGUGAGCAAACACAAACCCUUGAUACUAUGAUGCCAUGCCCUCGAGCUACAGUCUUACCUCUUUACUGUCUUUCACAGAAAGCCCAUGCUGUCCCUCCCUCUCUCCCUCCACAUUAUCAUUACUGUUCUUUAUUAUUUUAAAUUUGAAUUAUGAAUGAAUUUUCUCCCUUCCUUCUUUUCUUUGUCCCUCUUCAACUAUACCUACCACCCUACCACCGUAUCAUCCACAUGUUUCUUGCUAAAUUCAUUAGUGACCAACAUGUUGCCAAAUUCAAGAAAUGCUUUUCAACCCUAAUCUUAUUUUGCAGCAGCUUUCAGCACAGUUGCUUUUGCCUUUCUUCUUGCAACAUUUCCUUCUCUUGGCUUCCAUGAUCCCAGUUCUCAUGAUUUUCUUUCCAGCCUUCUGUCUGCACCUCAGUUUCUUUUGUAGCCUCCUUUGUAUCUUCCUGAUUUAUAAAUGUUGGAGUGCCUCAGACUCAAUUCAGGUCCCCUUUCCUUGCCUUUUUAUAUUGUCUUAUCAGGUUAUCUCACUCACUGUUCUGGUUUCAGAGACCACAUGCAAGCCAAGGCAUUAUGUCUUCCUCUUCAGCUCCCUGCUAAGCUCUAGAUCCAAACUUUCAGAUGUUAUGUGCACAUUUUCAUUGGAAUCCAGGGACUCAGCUGUAGAUUACACAUAAAACCCCUUUAAUAUUCACCUCCACCAGCAACCACAUGAACUACUUGUGGUUCUGUGCUCAGAACUCUUUGGAUAAUUGAAGUUGUCCACUACAGGUGGAUGGCUAGAAGCCCUGUGUAUUUCUGAGAGUAAAUAGCAAUGAAUAAUUAUAAAGAAUAAAGGGAGACAUGCAACUCUAACAUAGCCCUUCUUCCUUUUCAUAAUAUUCAGCUAUGAUGAUGAUGGAAGUUUUUAUAGUUAACGGACCAACCAAUAACAAUACCUCUCUGGUAUGUUCAUACUUUUUCUAAUUAGCAGAGGUUGCUCUCUAAGAAGUCUUCUGAUUAUUUUUUUAUUUUUUUAUUAAAGUAUAGUUGAUUUAGGAGGAGUUCCCGUCAUGGCAUAGUGGUUAAAACGAAUCCAACUAGGAACCAUGAGGUUCGGGUUCAAUCCCUGGCCUUGCUCAGUGGGCUAAGGAUCUGGCAUUGCCGUGAGCUGUGGUGUAGGUCACAGACACGGCUCAGAUCCUGCAUUGCUGUGGCUGGGGCAUAGGCCUUUGGCUACUGCUCCGAUUAGACCCCUAGCCUGGGAACCUCCAUGUGCCACAGGAAGCAGCCCUAGGAAAAGCAAACAGCCAAAAAAAAAAAAAAA